rnacentral:rRNA from 1 species
CUCCGGUUGUAAAGCUCUUCUGUCAGGCAAGAAAAGGUUCUGGCUAAUAUCCAGAGCUGCCGACGGUACCUGAAGAAUAAGCACCGGCUAACUACGUGCCAGCAGCCGCGGUAAUACGUAGGGUGCAAGCGUUAAUCGGAAUUACUGGGCGUAAAGCGUGCGCAGGCGGUUUUAUAAGUCUGAUGUGAAAUCCCCGGGCUCAACCUGGGAACUGCAUUGGAGACUGUAAGGCUAGAGUGUGUCAGAGGGGGGUAGAAUUCCACGUGUAGCAGUGAAAUGCGUAGAUAUGUGGAGGAAUACCGAUGGCGAAGGCAGCCCCCUGGGAUAACACUGACGCUCAUGCACGAAAGCGUGGGGAGCAAACAGGAUUAGAUACCCUGGUAGUCCACGCCCUAAACGAUGUCAACUAGUUGUCGGGUCUUAAUUGACUUGGUAACGCAGCUAACGCGUGAAGUUGACCGNCUGGGGAGUACGGUCGCAAGAUUUAAACUCAAAGGAAUUGACGGGGAACCGGACAAGCGGGGGAUGAUGUGGAUUACUUCGAUGCAACGCGAAAAACCUUACCUAA